ensembl:lncRNA
UUAGAGCAUUUAUGAAUUGUAAAAUACACACUCUAACACACAUCUGGGACCAGUAUCUUCAAUUGAAUUAUUUGGAAUUUUGAUAUCUCAAGCGAUUUGACCGCAAUAAGUGAAUGAAGUAAAAUCACCUAAACACCAUCUGCUCUGAUAUAAUUGAACGGAUUGGCAUGCUGUUUGCUUGUGAAGGUUCUUUGGACAGUUUCUUGUUAAAUGUUACACAAAUCGUAUAUUAUUGUACACAUAGAUAUAUGUUUUCAGCAGAUCUUUUUUCUAAUUUCCCUUAGUAAGAUUUUACUUUUGCAGCCGGUCAGGUUUUUUUGCCAUGUGACUUCCUAUCAAUUAAUAGUCAAUGACCUUGUCACGUCCAAUCCCAUCGACAGCUUAAAUUGUUCGUUAGGUCACACCUGCUCCAUUUUACAAGGUGGUAGUAUUUCGGAAGAUUAUGAGCUUUCCAUGAGUACACUGAGUCUGCAAAUCCUCUGCUUGAAGCUGGUCAAUCUUCAUCAGGAGACUUAUGGUGUCGGUUCUCAUUCCAGGACUUUGAUCAUCUUCCACCUCAAAGGUGAUUGGUUCACCCUGAGAUAGAAACAAAGAAUUGGAGUAACAAACGCAGUCUAAAGAUUUUAGGUUCCUGAAAACAUAUUCAAAUUAGGCUGGUCUACACAAGGUGAACUCAAUUCAAGAGGAGGAGAUUCCGGCAGUUCCAACAGAGUGACUCAGAGACUUUGUUCCACAAAAUGGGACAGAAUGAAUGUAAUAUAAUGGGUCCUUGACCUAUACAUUACAUAAAAGCUCUUAUUAUGAAUGUCACUAUUCUCUUUAUGGCAAUGUGUCCUGAAUAGUUACAUAAAUGUUUAAAAAUGUAAUAUACCCCUUUGUAUGUUAUGCCAUUUUCUACAAACUGGCUAUUCUAAUGAGCUCAGCCCUGAAAAAAGACUACAUUUGAUUGGUCCAGAAUUAUUGUGUAUCACAGACAUUUCUCUGCUUCACCAUGUUGGACAUUACAGCAGAGUAAAAAGUAUUUUUGGAGAUGCAAAUUUGGACUGUAUGUGAAACAUACAUUUGGCAAAUUAUAAUAUAUGUUUUAAUGUAUUUGGUACACAUACAAUUGUUUGGAAAUUAUAAUUUGGCCAAUCUUUAUAUUUUACAUGUUCUUUCAAAUUAUUACACCAUUGAUAAAGAUGAGCAAAAAGGAUUGUAUGAAAAUAAAAAUAAAUGGUAAUGUAUUGUACAUGUGGAAUGUUAUACUUUAAUAUUUCAUGGGACUACAACAAAACUGCACAUCAUAAAGUAUCCAUUUCCCCCCAAAGAAGUAUUUCAAAAGUAUAGGCACCCUUGCUAUCAGUGGUCAGCACACCCUACCGACAGAGCAUUUUUGUAUACUUUUAUGACAUUGAAGAAGAUAUUGAAACUGACUAUUACCCCAUACACAUUCUAUGCAGAUCCCUUUUAUUAUUAUUAGAAGCACUAUAAUUAUUGUUAUUACAGUGCUUAUAAUAAUAAUAGUCAUCACCAUCUUAAUAUUGAGUUUGUAGAGAAUAUGCGCACAAAAGUAAUGCUCAAAUGCCCUCAUUUUCAAAUGGAUUCAUGUUCAAAUUUUUGAAUUUUGAUAUGUGCUUGGGGUCACUGUCUAUUUGGCCGACCAACUUGCCAACCAUGUUUCUGCCUUUGUAAUAGUCAACCAGG